AUUGAACGCUGGCGGCAUGCUUUACACAUGCAAGUCGAACGGUAACAGGCCGCAAGGUGCUGACGAGUGGCGAACGGGUGAGUAAUGCAUCGGAACGUGCCCAGUCGUGGGGGAUAACGCAGCGAAAGCUGCGCUAAUACCGCAUACGAUCUAUGGAUGAAAGCGGGGGACCGUAAGGCCUCGCGCGAUUGGAGCGGCCGAUGUCAGAUUAGGUAGUUGGUGGGGUAAAGGCUCACCAAGCCGACGAUCUGUGGCUGGUCUGAGAGGACGACCAGCCACACGGGGAGUGAGGAACGGCCCAGACGCCUACGGGAGGCAGCAGUGGGGAAUUUUGGACAAUGGGCGCAAGCCUGAUCCAGCAAUGCCGCGUGCAGGAAGAAGGCCUUCGGGUUGUAAACUGCUUUUGGACGGAACGAAAAGGCUCUGGUUAAUACCUGGGGCUCAUGACGGUACCGUAAGAAUAAGCACCGGCUAACUACGUGCCAGCAGCCGCCGUAACAC
rnacentral:rRNA from 1 species